rnacentral:lncRNA from 1 species
ACUGACAAUAAUAAAUGACGAGCUGAAUGUGGAAAAUCCCCACUUUUACUCUGGUCUGUAGCUAUAGCAGCGCAUUCUUUUCCCAUAGAAUCCAAUGCAACGUCAUGCAUAAGGUCAUGGAUCUUACAAGUAACUCUAGAGACCUCUACAUCAGUGAACUCAAAUGGGAUCCCCUUCACAUCCUGGAAAAAUGACCUUGACGCAAGCUCAAUGAAAAUAUUUUUACCUGAAAUUUCAGGAUGUUCUUCUCCUUGUAGCACCGGGAUAAAACCAUUGGCUAUCCAUAACUGGAUCAACAUUUCCACGUUAAUCUCAUAAUCCUUGGGAAACAUAGCACAGAAAGCAAAGCAUUGCCGCAUAUGUGAUGGCAAGCAAUUGUAACUAAGCUUGAGUACUGGUAAGAUUCCAUUUCUAUCAUCACAAAUCUUUUUUCUCCUUAGCACAUCCUUCCAUUCACGCGCGGUGGUCUUGGUACUUAACACAGAGCCCAAUGCUGUAGCAGCUAAAGGAGAACCAGCACAUCUCUUUGCAACCUCACCAACCAUUUUAACUAGUUCACGAGGCCAAUCCUUUUCUUGUUUUGAGUUGAAUGCUCUUGACUCAAUAAUUUCCUUUAUGAAAUUUUCAUCCAAGCGUCCAAGUUCAUAGGCUCCUUUAGCUGUACCCAUCAUUAGCUGAGCAACUGCUUGAUCACGAGUUGUUGUCAACACUGAGCAUCCACUGCCACCAUGUUGAAGGUAGGACUUCAGUUUUUCCCACUUGUGGGCCUCAUCACGGUUCCAGACAUCAUCUAGUACAAGGAGGUACCGCUUGCCACUCACUGCACUUUGAAGCUUGUCCAAUGCUGAACUUCCAUUUGCUUGGCAACCAUUCUUCUCAGCUUCUUCGACAAUUCUUUUAGCCAGGGUAUCCACAUCAAAGUUGUCAGAGACGCACACCCAGAGUCGCAACUGGAAAUGCUUCUGAAUCUCAGGGUCAUUGUAAACAAGCUGUGCUAAGGUGGUCUUCCCCAUCCCUCCCAUCCCGACGAUAGGAAAGACCGUGAGAUUCACAUAGCUAGCUUUAUCAAGCAACAACUUAAUAAUCUUCUCCUUGUCUCCAGCUCUGGAUCUGCCGGCAAUGUCCACAGGGUCGAUGAUUUUAGAACUAUUCUCCCUCAAGUGAUUUACUGGAACUGGUGGCCCUUGCUGGAACUUGAACCCGAAACAAUUCAUCUCUGCGAUAAGGACAUCAAGUUCUUCCAAAAUCAUGCGGAGCUUGUUGCCCAUCUUUUUACGGAACACAAAACGGUUGUGAGAAGGGAAGAGCUUUAUUACAUCCAUGCCGAGCUCCUUGUAGUGCCCCUCCUCCCUGGCUUUGCGGCGGAGCGCCUCGUACUUGAACUCGUCCAAGACGUCAUUCGCCUGGUAGGCCACUUGCCGGACCUCCUCCAGCCAAGCUUUCACCCCUUCUCGCUUGGCUGCCGCCUUCUCCUCGGCGUCGGUGAUGACGUCCAGGAUGGCCGGCAGCUUGCGCUUGAGGAGCUUGUGCUGCUUCUCCAAGCCCUCCAUCACCUGGUACUGCUCCAGGAGGUAGCUGGAGGCCUUCUCCUUCACCAUGGACACCAGUGGCCCGACCACCAUGGUGGCCAGUACCUCAGCCAUCGGAAUGCCUGGAUCUCAGAACACACGCGUAGGGGACACAGUCACACAGGGAAACACACAGUUGCAAAGUGGAGAGGAAAAACACGGGAGCCAGCUAAUAAAGCAUCUCGAGGCCAGCCAAUAAAGCAUCUCGAGGCCAGUACUGCAAAUAUGUGAAAAUUGAUGACAAGAAUAAUUCGUCCAUAUAAAGUUGACUGCACAAAGGAACGUACCUGUCCCUUUUCAGCAAAAAGCACAAGAUUCUUUUCUCCAUUUGCCAUAACAACAAAAACGUUUUGGCAUGGAUGCCAGAAUCACCUGCUAAAUAAGUUUUAACUUCAAGAUUCCAACAGUAUGGUAGAAAACAGGUAAAUACGUUGCCUAACCUCUUGGAUUACCCCUAAUUUGUCAAACUCUUCUUUACUGAUUAUCGCGGUGACCUCUGUUGAUAUAAAAAACACCAAGAGCUGUUAGUAAACAGUGGUAGAAUUAGACGGCUAGGGUUUGGCCGGAGUCGGGUUGUGGGGGCAGGACGACCCAGAGGAGCAGGAGGAAGGACGGGUGCGCAUCGCUGGAACUGCCGGUGGCGCGGGGAAGGAUAGGAGAGUGGCAGCGACGACGAGCGGCGCGGUAUUGGAGGGAGGCGGCCGUUCAGAAGAGGGAGGGGAGAGAGAGACCGAACGAGAAUGGGAGGACGGCGGCAGGCCAAGGAUGGUGACGCGGCGCAGGCAUUGAGCGGCGCGGGGUUCCUUGCAAAUGUAGUGGUGGGUUGUUUUCUACAAAAGCAACACACGAAAUCGGAAUUUUCUCUUCUUGGUGUCGAAAUAUUUCGGAACCCAGGAGGCACGGCGCAAAGAAAUCGAACGUGUUUACUGUAGCGCGGGAGCCUGCGCGGAUCUUUUCCACGAUUAUAGAAAAGGUGAAGGGUUUUUUGCAAAAUUGUGUGCGCCCGUGGCAGCCUCUGGACCACACGAUCGGCCACGAUCCAACGGCCGCGAAAAAGAGCGCCGUGGCCCGGCUGGUUGAGCCCCGCUGGACCCCAGAAUAAGAGGUCUUGAUUAGUACUAUCCUUUUCAGAGUAAUAUAUCAGUGUCCUUUUCAGAGUAGUAAUGUUCUUUUCCCUGUAUUGUUUGUCCAAGAAAUAAGGCACGUAUUUAUUUUUGGUUCAUGACAAGGAAAAGUGACACUGGUGCCUAUACUUUUUUACACCUGACAAAUUCCAGUGCUCUCAAUGUCAAGUAGACAAAAGACGGAUACACAACCUUCUGUUCAUAUUAUUGCAAACUGUUUCACUGACAGCCUGAAAUCCUUCCUACUCUUUUCUUUUUCCAGGUUACAUACUAGCCUUUUGAUGGUAUUAUUAUGAUUUGUUGCUACCUGAGUUUGGUGAUUAUAUUCGCUGCACAAUUGACAUUUUCACCUCUCUUGCUACAAAACUCUUCGAGGUAUAUUGUUUUAGCUCACUUAGAAGAAACAACGGCUAUUAUUAUUUCCAAACACUAUAAAUUUCUCUUGUAAUAUUAUUGUUGUUUCUAUAAUCUUAGCCAAACUUCAAAUAUAUAGUUUGACUUGGAACAAAUCUAAAAAUCCUCAUAUUCGUUACAUAGGAAAAAUCCAUAUAUUUGUCACAUUUAACGGUCUAUUCCCCUAAUAAGCAUUAAAGAAAUAAGCAAGCGCCAACACCAAACAAAAACAAAGCCCUAAGUUAAAGAAAUACUAUAAACAAGCGCUAAAACCAAAGAAAAAAACAAAACCAGCCAAAAGUAUUACAAUGCCAAUCAGACCAGACCUAACCCAUCACGGGAAUGACCAGUCAAACCAGCCGAUUUGACCGCAAGGGCCAGUAGGGAGAACUCAAAUUCCAAAGAGAUUUGACCGCAAGGCACCGGAUCGGUAAUCGACCCCGCCUUUGUAGUAACGCCCGUUCCCCGUGCUAUCGGCCGUCGGCCCCGCCUCUGCGUCCUGUGGUGCCCGCCCGGACUGGUUCGUCUCCUCUCUCUCGUUCGUAUUUUUUAGACGAAUUGGGCAGAAGAGCUGCCGAUUAUAUUAAAAGAAAAUAUUCAAAUUGGCAGUAUAAUAAUAAAUAUACACCGGCGGGUUGGAUUGAGACAUCAACACGAGCCGCACAACUCAUCCUUCUUCACUCUCUCAAGUUUUUACUCUCCCUACUUCGUCCUAUACAACGAAUCGACAUUUUAGCUUAGGAAACUUUCAUUUGAUCCGUGGAUCUUGAAGAGCAAGGUAUCUUCUCUCCCUCGUAGCUUUUUUUCACAUCGAUUCACUAUAUAUUAGUUGCAUUUUUUUAACUUAGGGUUUCAUGCAAAUGUAGGAUGCCGAGGCGUGGAAAAGCUAGGAAACUAAGGUAACCCCAGCGCAUGUAGUUAUGUUAUGUGCUCAUUGUUGUGGAUCAAAUGAAAAACCUUAAUUGUAGGUUUAUUAUUAAGUGUGUUUGGUUCUUACAACAAAAUAAACUAAAUUGUAGUUAUGGCACCAAGCUGACCGGAAAUGCCUUCGAUCCAUUGCCUCUGCCUAGUGGUGUUCCAGUGCCUAUGUGCUUUUGCGGCGAUCCUUGUAAGGUAGCCAAGUCCGAUGAACAUGAUAUGUAUAGGCAGAGGUAUUUGAUGUGUUCCAACUUUGCGUUUGAACCUACACUUCGUAAGUGCCGCAUUAACAAGUUGGUAAGGAAUUGUUGUUGUCUUAUAAUUAUUGUCCAUAUUUUUUUAUAACAAUGCAUUUGUUGUAGACCCCUCCACCGCUAUGUGAUUUUGAGCAGUGGAUCGACACUGAGGUCAAUCCUGAAGACAAGAAGUUUUUGGAGUAUAUGUUGCGCUGGGAUGCAGAGAGGAAGGAGAUGAUGGAGAAGAGGCUCAGAGAGGAGGCUGCGGAAAAGGAGCACAAGGAAGAGGAGGAAAGGAGGCGUGUUGCUGCGAACAUUGAGGAGAGGGAGAAGAAGCUUGAGCGUGCACGCCGAGCGAAAGCAGCGAUUGAGAAGGAUCCCGAUGCCUUGAGGAAGGGAAAGUGACCUCGUUGCACUCAAUAGUCAUAAUUAGUUUCUAGUUCUAUGAUUUAUUUAUGAAUAAUAUUUUGUACUGUGAGACUUUUAUUAUGUUGUCAUGUAAUGAUGCACUUUAAGUAUGAACAUGCAACUGGUAGAUGACCUAUGUUUAUUUUGCGAUGUAAUGCACUUCAAAGUUGUACUCUAGUAAAAUUUCCGCAGAAAAUAAAAAGGGUACUUGUUAGUGAAAUUUCGUCUACUUUUUAAUGCAAUCCAUACAAAAUUACGAGAUGAAUAGUGAACAUAAAUACAAACAUACAAGCAUAUGACACAUUCAUAAUAAAAUUCACAGUAGUUCAGAAUGAAAGUCCAUAUACACAAAUAGUUCAUAUAACACAAAGUCCAUAUACCACAUAGUUCGCAAUAAGUACCCUCAGUGCCUCCUAGUCUUACCCUUACCUUGUGACCAAGGGUGUCGGUGCCUAAAGUGUAAGGAGAACGUGGUUCCUAGAGUGUAAGGAGAACGUGGGCGACGUAGUCUAGUGCCUACAACCUGUGUAGGCUGAGUCAAGGGAACCUCGUGGAGCUGAGACGGGCCAAGCUCCUCGGGCCUCUGGUCAUCAUCGUCGUCAUCGUCCUCAUCCUCGGAUGCAAUUGCUUUCGACCCUGAGGGGCCUUGCCUAGACGUACCAAUGCCUCCUUCGCGUGGGGAUGGAACGUGCACGUCUCGCGUCGUGGCAGUCCUGCAACCACAACGAGCAGCCGCACGGCGAAGCCGACUUGACAGUCGCUGUUGUGAAAAAACUAGUUAAACGAAAGAAGGUACCGUAUUAAUAAAGUAUUUGAAAGAACAAUUUGAGUCUUACAUCUAGAAAACUUCACGUCUCGGGGUCCGUAACUCUAGGACGAAAAUGCUCAAUAUCUCUAACCGAGCUUUGGAGCGUACGCCCUGCAACAAAUUUUUAGAAGUCAGUAGUCACUAAAGCAAUAAAUGAUUAAGUCAUUAACUUACUUACACACUAAGUCACUAAAUGACUAAAUCAUUAAGUCACAACCUCGCACUGCAUGGCAACAAACUUAACACAUCCAUAGUCAUCCCUUUCCACGGUGCCUCCAUGAUAUAUGCUCACUACGUUCUCCAUCUAGUACAUCAAUAUAACAAUGCACAAUUCAUUUAGUCCAUAAUAAAUGAAGCAUUCUAACUAUAUCAUACAACUAACUAACUAUGUCACCUAAUAUGUACCUAUGUACUUAACUAUACAACUACUUAACUAAAUAUCGUAAUAACUAGUUUACUAUUUAACUAACUAUACAUCUAACUACGUAAACAAAAUUGCACAUCCAUCUAGUUAAAUAGUGUCAUGAGUAUUCUCUAUUCCUUCUACCAUUGCAAUUCAUAAAAAAAAACUACCAAAAUAAAUUAGUUUUCAUAUCUAACAAUUCUACCAAACUAUUCUAAUUUAUCUAUCUAACUAUUUUAUCUAUUCUACCUACCUAUCUAAAUUCUACCUAACAAUCUAAAUUCUAGUUAACUAUAACUCUUCUUAGAGUUUUACCUGAGUCGUUCGCACCGACGGGAAAAGCUGGGGCAGGCGCCGGGCGGAGGGCCACCGGCGGGGAUGGCUGCGGGCGCGGGGGCCCAAGCGGGGCGGCCGCGGGGGCUUGGCCGGAGGGGGCACACCGGCGGGGGCGGGCGCGGGCGCCACGUAGGGCGGGCGCGGGAGCCGGCUGGGGGCGGGGGCGGGCGGGGCGGCUGCAACGAGACACGACGGCGGCGGCGGCGCGAGUUUGAACGACGAGUUUGAUCGAAGGAAGAAAGCAAGGGACGCACAAAAGGGAGGGAAGAAAGCCAAGGCUUGGCGCCAAGAUCGUUGGUGCCAAGAUCUGUGGCGCCAAGCCUUCGCGCCUGUCGCCACGUAAUCCACGCCACGCCACAGGGGCACGCCAUGCCACGGGGGCACGCCAUGUCGGGGACCUUAGCGCCAAGACGUUGUAUGCUGGCGUCAAGCUAAAGGUCCAUUUUUUGAAUUGGUUCCAUCAGGGGUCUAUUUGUGAAAUUUUUUCGCGAAAAAAGCUAAAAUAAAAAAAAGUCGGAUAGUUCAAGGAUGAAAAAUCAAACUGCUGGACGUGAAAAGUCUACGACGGGACGAUCAAUCUCCGGCGAGCCACGCCGCCGCGUUCUUCGUUCGGCAACACUGACCCCUUGGUGGCCGUGUUGCCGCGUGCGACGAGAUACCCAGCCUCACGCAAACAUGCACGAUCACACACACACAAACGAAAACGAAAAGGGGAAAGCUCUCGAUCGAUCUCCAUGGACUCCAAGGAUGGCGCCGCCGCAGCGUCCGGUGAGGGUAGCACAGGCUGCGCCGUAUCUUCCAUCAGGCGCCGGUCCAGUUCCUGCCCGUCGCCGGCAAACUCGCGCUGUCGUUCUACGGCGUGCGCGAGGAGCCCCGGCGGCUGCAGCUGCUGGCCUCCAUCGCCCUCUGCUACGCGGCGGCCGUGGCGCUCGCGUUAUUCGCCAGACAGCUGGAUGCCUAUCCUGCUGUAAAUAAUCCAUCAUUUGCAGUCCUGGCAACGAUCCUACAAAUUAAAGAAGUCAAACACGGGAGUCAGCAUUAAUUAGAAGCUAGUGUCAUACAAAAUCAAUCAUCAGGCACACCAAUAUUACGAACCAGGGUAAUAACUUUCAUCAGGUCUUCAAUCUGCUAUUUCAAGCAUGCCAGCCGCCUCCUAAUUGAAUAUUCCCAUCCUGGCAGGUCAGGUCGUGAUCAUAGAUGGUGUCAGAAGUUAUGCAUGCAAAUCAACACCAAAUUGGAAAGUAUAUAUACAGGAGAAUGACUGUAUAUGUCAUCCAAUAGUAUCGUACAAGCAAAAAAUAUGUUUUAUGUAAAAAGGCAUCAGGCAUUUAAACAAAAUUACACAUAUUCAAAGAGCUAGUGAAUUUCGAGAAAAAAACUUUAAGACAACUAACAGGGAAAAUAAUCACAGAGAGCAGUCAACUAUAGCAUACAGUAUUGGUUCAAAAUGACAGGAAAAAUAAAUUCAUCAGCCACUUGGAUUAGAACUAAUAUAGUUUGGCCGCAGUAAUUCCAUCAUGCCAAACUUUAAUAUGUUAGUAAAGGAAGUUUGAUCGAUUAUACGUGAUUUGCAUUAGCUUUUAAUACCAAGAUAAUAAGGGGCGGAAAGAUCAUCUGAUAACUAAAUUCCUUUGAGGGACAAGAGAAGAGAUGCACAAGGAUGACUACACUAAAGUGCACCAUUAAUUUCUGCCUAAACUUGUUGACUGAAUUUUACUAGAGGUUCUAAACAUUAUUAAAACUUUUUAAUCACUAAAUUGUACUACCACAUCUUGUCGUAACUACUAGUAUGCUUAUUAAGUCACUAGUUACUUUUUUGCCAAAACACCAAUUGAGCUCCUGGUCACUUUAUUAAAAGAAAUGGAAAAAAAAAGACUGGAGGUUACCUUCAUAACGGGCAUCUAGUGUUUUCUCCUCGAGAUGAUCCAGACGUUGCUGUAGGCGCAGGGGAAGCAACUUUAUACCAGGACAAGAUUCAAUCCUAAGAGCUCUAAGAUAUGAGUAGGCUUGAGGCCCAUUCGGUAAGGAUUCCAGGCUUCUGCAAUUCAAAAGGCGGAGGUCUUCCAGCGAUGGGAGCCUUCCUAAGCAAGAUUCGAGUGAUUUCAAAUUACUGCACUUCACAAUAUGUAAUGUUUGGAGGGCAUCCAGCUGUCCUGAUAGGGAUCGAAGAUUGUCGCAUUCCUCAAUCUCCAACGUCUUGAUUGAUCGAAGAUUGUCGCAUUCCUGCUGACCGAAUAUGAUGGACCCGAGCAUAUGGCAGUUGUCAAAACGUAAUCUCUUGAGAGAUGCCGGUAGGUUGGGAACCUCUACCAAAGAUGGACAAUUUUGUAAGCAUAGAAACUCUAGACAUGGCAGGAGUCCACUCCGUUCUGGAGCAGAUUGCUCAGAAGUUUUUUGUGUGCGCCCUGGAAUUCGUUUUCUGGCCAGUAGACAAGAGCGUCGCAAUAUGAAAUUGUUAAAUAUACGAGCUGUGCAAAACAUGUCCAUAGUGGCAGUGCACUUGAGUGAGAGAACAAAAGGUUGUAUCUCCAUAACGUCAUACGUGUCAGAGGGGAUUUAUGCUCCCAUUUCUCCUUGCCACGCACCAACUCACUCGAAUUUUGUUCAGCCACCGAUUCUCUUUCUGUGUUAUCGCCAAACAGCUGCAUGCUGGACAAUGAAGUGAUAUAUCUGCUAGCUGCGUGCAGGGACGAUAUUUGUUGGCUGGCUCCUUCUACUUCUAAUACACUUAGCUUCGGUGCUUCGGGUAGAGUAGUCAACUCUGGACAACUCCAAAUUCUUAGUUUCUCAAGCCGAUGAAACACUAGCUCUUCUCCUGGAUUUCCUUCGCCAUCCUCCCAUCGCUGAAACAUCUCAAGAUUUCGUAAUUCCAUUUCCUUCAAUGCUGGAAAUGCAGACCUGUACUCAGUCUUGACCCCUUCAAAUGUUUCUUUAAUAACUGAUGCUUUCGGCAAUGCAGCCAGACUUUUACACUCUUUGAUUAACAGCUUCUCAAGCAGAGGAAAUAUUGGCCUUUCUCCUCGCACCUCACUUGUGCCCCACCAUAUCUCAAAGUUUGGCAACUCAAAAAUUGCAAGCUUCUUCAGUUUCUGAAAUGUGAAGGCUGUAUCACUGCUGCACAAGUAACGUAUGUUUUCCAAUCCGCACAAGCAAAGAAUUUGCAGAGCUGGUAACUGCCAGAAUGCAGGAAGCUUCUCGAGUCUUUUGCAAUCGGAUAACUUAAGCUUCACUAUGCCUUGCAACUUAUUCAUCCAUGUUGGACAAGUGUCGAUACUGCAGGAAUAUAUCUUUAGAACCUUCAGUCCGUCAUGAGGCUCCAGACCUUCCAGUACCUCUUUAUCACUAUUCCGUGCCUCUUCAACAUCAGUCCAUCUUAAUGUCAACCUGGCCAGUCUGUUCUUAUAUCUGAGUUUUGCCGCAUAUGCAUCUGCUUCUUUCACAUUUUCUAGCUGUCUUAGCUCCAGCUGACCACCAAGGUCGUCUAACCACCCAAGUUCUCCCACCUUACUGCAACCGGAUCCAGCACCUGCUACAAAGCAUGUAAGGGUCUGUAGGGAAGUGAGGUGUCUAAUAUCAGCAGGCAUGGUCUUUAACCUUUUACAUCCGUGAGUGUAGAGGUGACGGAGGGCAGUCAUGUACUUCAUUCCCUUUGGAAGUCGUUCAAGACCAUCACAGUCAGAAAGGUUCAAUGUUUGCAGAUGAUAUAGGAUGCUUAUAUCUUCAGGAAGUGAUUUAAUAGCAUAGCUUCCUGAGAGAUCAAGAUACCUCAGGUGAUGUAGCCAUACGGGUUUUAGGAAUGAAGUUUGCUUGCUCCAUAACUCUAAACCUAGCAUGGUCCUUGAUGUUGAACCUCCCCUGAUCUUUAUCCUUAGUGCUCGCGCAGACCUGUAUUUUGACAAAUUUUGCAAGUCUUUUUUUUUUACAGAAUACAGAUUGCCAGAAGUCAUCGUCUUCAUCAUACUCACAUAUCAGUGUUUGUAUAACCGGAGAGCCUUUCUCCAGGGAAGCAUUCAGAAAAGUUUCUGGUUCAUUGACCGACAAUAAUAAAUGACGAGCUGAAUGUGGAAAAUCCCCACUUUUACUCUGUUCUGUUGCUAUAGCAGCGCAUUCUUUUCCCAUAGAAUCCAAUGCAACGUCAUGCAUAAGGUCAUGGAUCUUACAAGUAACUCUAGAGACCUCUAUAUCAGUGAACUCAAAUGGGAUCCCCUUCACAUCCUGGAAAAAUGACCUUGACGCAAGCUCAAUGAAAAUAUUUUUACCUGAAAUUUCAGGAUGUUCUUCU